UACGUAGGGCGCAAGCGUUAUCCGGAAUUAUUGGGCGUAAAGAGCUCGUAGGUGGCCUGUCGCGUCGGCUGUGAAAACUCGGGGCUCAACUCCGAGCUUGCAGUCGAUACGGGCAGGCUAGAGUUCGGCAGGGGAGACUGGAAUCCUGGUGUAGCGGUGAAAUGCGCAGAUAUCAGGAGGAACACCGGUGGCGAAGGCGGGUCUCUGGGCCGAUACUGACACUGAGGAGCGAAAGCGUGGGGAGCGAACAGG
rnacentral:rRNA from 1 species